rnacentral:lncRNA from 1 species
AAUAUAGUAAAAGAUAUUAUUUUCUUAAAAAAUCUAAUUUUAUUUUUCAUAAAGUAUUAUUUCCUUAAAAAAAAAAAUCUAAUUUUAUUUUCCCUAAAGUAUUAUUUCCUUAAAAAAUCUAAUUUUAUUUUUCCUAAAGUAAAAUAUCUAUAUUUGAACUUGACACGUAGAUUAUUUUCUCUAAAACAGUAAUAUCCACACCCGCCAAUUUUUUCGCGUGAAUUUAUCAAAUAUCUCAACAUAAUUAUAGAUGGCUUUGAAAUAAAAUCUCCUUCAUUCAUUACAGGUGAUUUUUAAUAAUAUUGUAAAAGAUACUAUUUACUUAAAAAAUUUAAUUUUAUUUUUCCUAAAGUAGUCAUAUUCCCUAAAGUAGUAAUAUCCGCACAACAUAAUUAUAGGUGACUUUGAAAUAUUCUCUAAAGUAGAAAAUCUAUAUUUGAGCUUGACAGGUAGAUUUUCUAUAUAAUAAAAGAUAUUAUUUUCUUAAAAAAUCUAAUUUUUUUUUCUAAAAUAAAAAAUCUAUAUUUGAGCUUGACACGUGGCAAACAUAUAGAGCGCCACGUGUCAGCUUCUCACAUAUCUUUUAAAUUAUUUCCAUUGUAAUAUAUAGAUAGUAAAUUAAUUUUAAAUUUUAAAUUGAAAUAUAGAUUUGCAGUAGAUAUUCUGGCAAAAAUUUGGAUAAGCAUGAAUUUUUUUUUUUUCUUUUUUAGAGAUAAAAAAAUUAAAUAAAAUUUUAAUUAAAAUGUAGAUUCACAGUAAAUAUCUUUCGGGUGGUAAAAAAAUUUGGAUAAGUGUAUCUUUUUUUAUAUUUUAGAGAUAAACAGAAAUUUAAAGUUUGUUUCAUUACGUUAUUUAUUUUACGUAAGGAAAAAGGAAUCAAUAUUUUUUCCCACCAAAAAAU